rnacentral:lncRNA from 1 species
UGUCCGCAGGGCCUGCUCUGGAGGGGCCAUCUACCUGGGGGAGUGGGAAGGGGCUGUGAGGGGGCGGGCUAGGACCCAGGACCCCCUAGCAGAUAUGGAGGAGGGGAACACAGGUUCUCCUGGCAGGCAUCAUUUCCUAGCCCACUGGGUAGAUGCUCCAGGGGUCACUGGGGGAAGAACUGUGUAAAAACCCGGUGGAGGUCAGAGGAGAAGAAGAAAUACCAUCCAUGGGAAGGUGCUUAAUACAGAAAAAGACUAGAACUCCAGACAUUUCCCACUUUCAAAAAAUUGGCCUCCUUGGAGUUCCUGCCGUGGCGCAGUGGUUAACGAAUCCGACUAGGAACCAUGAGGUUGCGGGUNUCUGAUUGGAACCCUGGCCUGGGAACAUCCAUAUGCCAUGGGCGCGGCCCUAAAAAGACAAAAAAGAAAGAAAGACCAAAAACCAAAACCAAAACCAACCAAACAAAAAAGCCUGUUUGAAAAAAAAAAAAAAAAAAAAAAAAUUUGGCCUCCUAAAGGAUGUCACCAGCAACUGGAAUGGGGAGGAAACGAGACUAAGAAAGUACCCGAGUCAGAAAGAAGGGGAAGCCCCAUUGGAAGUGUGGGCCCUAAGGACAUGGAAGCUGGCUUUUUGUUUUUUAAGGUCUCAGAGUGAGAAACAAGAUGCUCCAUGUUUAUAUGUGCAGUUAAUCAGGAAGAAUUCAUGGGACACCACGGACGGAGGCUCCUCUGGAAUAUGGAACUGGGCUCUCAGGCUUCCUUUGCACUGCGUGCUCUCUUGUUCCACUUGAACGUCUGGUUCUAAAUUUGUUUCAUUUUCACCAUAAAAUGAGGGGGAAUCAUUGUGAUGAGCAGCGAGCCAUGGUGUGUCUCCCCCAAGACCUUGCUUGAGCAGAUU